rnacentral:rRNA from 1 species
CAGCAGCCACGGGAAUACGAAGGGUGCAAGCGUUACUCGGAAUUACUGGGCGUAAAGCGUGCGUAGGUGGUUGUUUAAGUCUGCUGUGAAAGCCCUGGGCUCAACCUGGGAAUUGCAGUGGAUACUGGGCGACUAGAGUAAGGUAGAGGAUAGUGGAAUUUCCGGUGUAGCAGUGAAAUGCGUAGAGAUCGGAAGGAACAUCUGUGGCGAAGGCGACUAUCUGGGCCAUUACUGACACUGAGGCACGAAAGCGUGGGGAGCAAACAGGAUUAGAUACCCGGGUAGUCCCUGUCUCUUAUAC